GAAUGCUAAUACCUAAUAUUAUGAUAAUAGGGCAUCCUAUAAUUAUGAAAGCUAUAUGCGCUGUGAGAGAGCUUUGCGUCCCAUUAGCUAGUUGGAGAGGUAACGGCUCACCAAGGCGAUGAUGGGUAGCCGGCCUGAGAGGGUGAUCGGCCACAAGGGGACUGAGACACGGCCCUUACUCCUACGGGAGGCAGCAGUGGGGAAUAUUGGACAAUGGACCGAGAGUCUGAUCCAGCAAUUCUGUGUGCACGAUGAAGUUUUUCGGAAUGUAAAGUGCUUUCAGUUGGGAAGAAAUAAAUGACGGUACCAACAGAAGAAGUGACGGCUAAAUACGUGCCAGCAGCCGCGGUAAUACGUAUGUCACGAGCGUUAUCCGGAUUUAUUGGGCGUAAAGCGCGUCUAGGUGGUUAUAUAAGUCUGAUGUGAAAAUGCAGGGCUCAACUCUGUAUUGCGUUGGAAACUGUAUAACUAGAGUACUGGAGAGGUAAGCGGAACUACAAGUGUAGAGAUGAAAUUCGUAGAUAUUUGUAGGAAUGCCGAUGGGGAAGCCAGCUUACUGGACAGAUACUGACGCUGAAGCGCGAAAGCGUGGGUAGCAAACAGGAUUAGAUACCCUGGUAGUCCACGCUGUAAACGAUGAUUACUAGGUGUUGGGGGUCGAACCUCAGCGCCCAAGCAAACGCGAUAAGUAAUCCGCCUGGGGAGUACGUACGCAAGUAUGAAACUCAAAGGAAUUGACGGC
rnacentral:rRNA from 1 species